UACGAAGGGGGCUAGCGUUGCUCGGAAUCACUGGGCGUAAAGCGCACGUAGGCGGAUUGCUAAGUCAGGGGUGAAAUCCUGGAGCUCAACUCCAGAACUGCCCUUCGAUACUGUAGAGCUUGAGUUCGGGAGAGGUGAGUGGAACUGCGAGUGUAGAGGUGAAAUUCGUAGAUAUUCGCAAGAACACCAGUGGCGAAGGCGGCUCACUGGCCCGGUACUGACGCUGAGGGUGCGAAAAGCGUGGGGGAGCAAACAGGGAUUAAGAAACC
rnacentral:rRNA from 1 species